AUUGAACGCUGGCGGCAUGCUUUACACAUGCAAGUCGGACGGCAGCAUAAAAGAGCUUGCUCUUUUGAUGGCGAGUGGCGAACGGGUGAGUAAUGCAUCGGAACGUACCGAGUAGUGGGGGAUAACUGUCCGAAAGGAUGGCUAAUACCGCAUAUUCUCUGAGGAGGAAAGCAGGGGACCUUAGGGCCUUGCGCUAUUUGAGCGGCCGAUGUCUGAUUAGCUAGUUGGUGGGGUAAGAGCCCACCAAGGCGACGAUCAGUAGCGGGUCUGAGAGGAUGAUCCGCCACACUGGGACUGAGACACGGCCCAGACUCCUACGGGAGGCAGCAGUGGGGAAUUUUGGACAAUGGGCGCAAGCCUGAUCCAGCCAUGCCGCGUGUAUGAAGAAGGCCUUCGGGUUGUAAAGUACUUUUGUCAGGGAAGAAAAGCCUGAGGAUAACACCCUCAGGUCAUGACGGUACCUGAAGAAUAAGCACCGGCUAACUACGUGCCAGCAGCCGCAGUAACAC
rnacentral:rRNA from 1 species